rnacentral:pre_miRNA from 1 species
UGACCAGAUGUACAAUAAAUGUUCAAUGACCAGAUGUACAAUAAAUCAUCUGGUCAUUGAACAUUUAUUGUACAUCUGGUCA